AUUGAACGCUGGCGGAAUGCUUUACACAUGCAAGUCGAACGGUAGAGGGGGCAACCCCUCGAGAGUGGCGAACGGGUGAGUAAUAUAUCGGAACGUGCCCAGUCGUGGGGGAUAACGUAGCGAAAGUUACGCUAAUACCGCAUACGAUCUAAGGAUGAAAGCGGGGGAUCGCAAGACCUCGCGCGAUUGGAGCGGCCGAUAUCAGAUUAGGUAGUUGGUGGGGUAAAGGCUCACCAAGCCAACGAUCUGUAGCUGGUCUGAGAGGACGACCAGCCACACUGGAACUGAGACACGGUCCAGACUCCUACGGGAGGCAGCAGUGGGGAAUUUUGGACAAUGGCCGCAAGUCUGAUCCAGCCAUUCCGCGUGCAGGAUGAAGGCCCUCGGGUUGUAAACUGCUUUUGUACGGAACGAAAAGGUCUCUCUUAAUACGGGGGGCUCAUGACGGUACCGUAAGAAUAAGCACCGGCUAACUACGUGCCAGCAGCCGCAGUAA
rnacentral:rRNA from 1 species